rnacentral:rRNA from 1 species
ACUUACCGCUUAACAUCGAGUGUUAAAUAUGCUAGUCCUUUCAUGAUUAUGUGAUAGGUGGUGCAUGGCCGUUCUUAGUUCGUGGAGUGAUCUGUCUGCUUAAUUGCGUUUCACUAAGGGCCCAUAAAUUCAAGGUAUGUUAGCUCUCGUCGCUCUAUGGACCCCUUAACUCCAAUAUUCUUAUUGUGUUAAGCGCGUGUCUUUAUUUUAAGAGUUUUAAGACACUGCGCAUG